CCUUGGAACCUGGCAGCGAGCGCUGGAGGAUGACGGGUGGCCCCCACCGCCGGGCUGCGCUGCCCAGCACAAGUGACAAAGAUCUCCUGGACGGAGCCUGGUGCCUUCGAGCCCAGCCACAGCCUGCUGAGUGGCUUUUCUCCUUCCUCCUGCCAAAGGACCACAGCCACUGCUGCUCUCCAGGAAACCUCUGGAGCAGAAGGACUUACCUUUGGCAGGAACAAGAAGAGGUGGAGGUGCCGGGUGAGGCAAGAAGAAGGCAAAGGGAAUGAGCGAGGGAAAGAGAAAGCUGGAAACAGAAGGCUCUGUUGUGAUGGGAAGGGUGUGAAGGGCAGUGCCCCUUGUCGCCACGUGCCCCACGGGACGUGGGCCAAGGCAGAAGGUCCCUGGGGCCCCAUGUCCCCGCGCGCUGAGGCUGGGUACUGCAGAGAAGAGGUCCCCUGAACCCAGGUGGGUUUGGGGUAAUGCCACCCAGGGACUUCCCAAGCUCCUUGCCUCUGCUUGGGGUGAGGACUGUGCAGCUGAACUAGAGCCGACGAGACACAAAUCCACCUCCAAGCAUGGGAAGGGGCACAUCUUGUGCAGAGGGGACUGGAAGUAACGAGUGAAGGCAAGGAGAGGUGUCAGAGAAAGCAGAAGCCAGGAUAGCCUGGAGAGAAGUGAUGCACUCAUGAGUCAGUGCUGUGAGGUCUCAGACCUGCUGCCUCCCUUCGCUCCUGUUCCUUUUUCCCUCUUUCACGUUAUCUCAUUGCUCAUCGCCGUCCCUCUCUAUCUCACCCACUCUUUCUCGCCUCUCACUGUCCUCCGCUGGCCCCGUGCAAAGCACUGGCACGAGUGUCCUGGACGGGGCUCCUCUGACAUGGCCAGCUCCUUUCCUGGCACACUGCGCUGGGCUUCCCUCUCCCCCGCGACGUCCCACGCAAGAGCGAUGGCAGCGGGGGGGUGUCUGAAGCUGGGGCCAGGCUGGGGCCACCUCCUGCUGCCCCCGUCCCCGCGUCGCGGGCUGCGAGCAUCUCGCCUGAGCCCGCACUGGACAGACACUCGCAGGAGGACACACAGCGGGGACACAGGCCCGUGUAGGUGCCCGUGAUCGAGUGCAUUUGGAUGAAACUGUCAGCUUGAACAUCGGCCUGUCUAAUAAAUCCUGGCAUUUUCCAAACA
rnacentral:lncRNA from 1 species